CCGUCAGGAACUUCAAGAUCAAAUAUUGAGUGGACUUAAUCCUACUGAGUACAGUGACAUCCCUCGAGGCAUAAAAACAUACGCCAGAAGAAAGCGAUUCGAAGUUUUUCAAAUUCUGUAGAAGUUUAGG